rnacentral:lncRNA from 1 species
GGGGAGUCUGUGACACCCCAAUAGUUACACAUCGGAUGGGAAAUGGGUUGUCAUUGGGUUUAUAAGAGACUUAGACACUAGUAAUAAUAACUGGGCUUAAGCACUUUGGGCCGGUGAUUGGGCUCAACGUGUUAUUGUUGCUAGUGGGCUGGGUCGUUACAAUGGUUGAAGGAUAUUUGGGGAGUCGGUUAAGGAUUCAAAAUUCGAAAUCGAAUUUUGAAUCGGUUGUUGGGUGGUUAGGUAUUCAAAAUUCGAAUGGAUGUUGGUUGGGGAUUCGAAAUUCAAAAUUGAAUUUUGAAUGGGUUGUGGGAUGGAUAGAUAUUCAAAAUUCGAAUGAAUGUUGGUUGAGAGAUAUUUUGGGAGUUGAUUCGAUGUUCGAAAUCGAAUUUCGAAUAGGGUUGUUAGGAUAACAGAUAUUUUUUGGGGGUUUAAAAAUUUAAAAUCGAAUUUGAAUAUAAUAUUCGAAAUUGAAUUUUCAAACGUGGGUAAAAAUGUGGGCCGUGAUCCUAUGAAUUGGGCUGAAAUUGGGCCCACUUUGAUGAAACUUGUUGGGCGCAAAUAUUCAUUGGGCUGAGAUGUGGCCCAAAUUUUUAUAUAGGCCUAAAAUUUUAAAGGGCUUUUAUGAGACCCAUUAAUUCACAUUUAUGAAUGAGCCUAUUAUAGAUUAUAAUUAUCGGCCCCAAAAUUUUAUAGUCAACAUGAGAUCUAUUAGGAUUGUGCGAGUCCGACUUGAUUUUUUUAUUAUGAUUAUGAUUGUUU